AGCGGGAGUAAGGGCGGAGCGCGAGGCGGCGAGGCCAGCGUCCAGUCUUAUAUUUCUGGCUGCUGUGGUCAUUCACUGAUUCAAUGAACGGCACAAUGGCUGCAUCGUCUAACAGGAUCAUGCUGGGCCCCCUCGUAGCCGCUAUCGACCAAGGCACGAGUUCCACACGCUUUCUGGUUUUCAAUGCAAAAACAGCAGAGCUUCUCAGUCACCAUCAGGUUGAGAUUAAACAGAGCUUUCCUAAAGAGGGCUGGGUGGAGGAGGAUCCUAAAGAGAUUCUUCAGUCUGUGUACGAGUGCAUGGACAGAACCUGCGAGAAACUGACUCAGCUCAACAUUGACAUCUCGAACAUAAAAGCUAUUGGUGUGACCAAUCAGAGGGAAACCACCCUUGUUUGGGACAAGGAAACGGGAGAACCACUUUAUAAUGCUAUAGUUUGGCUUGAUCUGCGUACCCAGUCAACAGUAGAAAGGCUCAUCAACAAAACUCCAGGCAGAAACAAAAACCAUCUCAAGCACAAAACUGGCCUACCCAUCAGCACAUACUUCAGCGCAGUGAAGUUGCGCUGGCUGAUGGACAAUGUGGAGAAGGUCCAUGAAGCUGUGCUCUCUCACAGGGCCAUGUUUGGAACCGUGGAUUCCUGGCUCAUCUGGUGCCUGACAGGGGGGAAGAAAGGAGGUGUUCACUGCACAGAUGUAACCAAUGCCAGCCGGACAAUGCUCUUCAAUAUUCACACAAUGGACUGGGAUCCGGAGCUCUGCAAAUAUUUUGAUAUACCAAUGGAAAUUCUGCCAAAAGUGAGAAGUUCCUCAGAGAUUUAUGGUUUAAUGAAAAUCAGCUCUAAUCUGAAAUCUGGCCCUUUAACUGGGAUCCCCAUAUCAGGGUGUCUUGGGGACCAGUCUGCUGCACUGGUGGGACAGAUGUGUUUCAAGGAUGGACAAGCCAAAAAUACUUAUGGGACUGGUUGUUUCCUGCUUAAAAACGUAGGAACAAAGCCUGUAAUGUCGGACCAUGGACUUCUGACGACGGUCGCGUAUAAACUAGGGCGUGACAAGCCGGCCUGCUAUGCACUAGAGGGUUCAGUGGCUAUUGCAGGGGCAGUUGUACGUUGGCUAAAGGAUAAUCUCGGAAUUAUCCAAACCUCUACAGAGCUAGAGAAACUAGCUGCUGAAGUUGGCACAUCAUAUGGCUGUUAUUUUGUCCCUGCAUUCUCUGGAUUAUAUGCACCAUACUGGGAACCAAGCGCUAGAGGAAUCAUCUGUGGUCUAACACAGUUCACCAAUAGGAGUCAUUUGGCUUUUGCAGCACUCGAAGCUGUCUGCUUUCAAACACGAGAGAUUCUGGAUGCAAUGAACCAGGACAGUGGUAUUCAUCUGUCCCAGCUCCAGGUUGAUGGAGGCAUGACGUCCAACCGGUUACUGAUGCAGCUGCAGGCCGACAUACUGUGCAUCCCAGUGGUAAAGCCGUCCAUGCCUGAGACCACAGCUCUGGGUGCUGCCAUGGCAGCAGGAGCAGCUGAGGGGGUCAGUGUGUGGAGCCUAAAUCCAGAAGAUCUCUCGGAGGUCACUUCAGAAAAAUAUGAACCUCAGAUCAACCCAGAGGGUAAUGGAAUCUAGGGGGCACCACACGCCAGAUCAUAAGUAAUGCAAAUUACGUGAACAACAUGCGGUACUGAACAACUUGAUGGAUUUUUGCAGAGCACAACAUUGUGUUCAUGCUUAAGGGAUUGUUCACACUUUUGAUCUGGACCGAAAAUAGAAAAACCAAAAAUUUGAACAUUGUAGUCCUCUUAGGAAUUACGCAGUUAUUUUAAUAGCGAAAUUAAAGAUACAAAAUGCAUAAGAAUAUGGUUACAUGGUUCUUAUGACAAGAAGGAGGGUAUGCUUCAGCAUUCUGUCCUUUUUAUGGUCUCUUUUAAGGUCGCAUUGUGUGACAUCACUUCCUGUUUUGGUUAGUUGAGGUGUCUUUUGUCCACUGUAUGUUUGGAAGCAGACUGAGAGCCGCCUCUUCAGGGGUCUCGAUCCGUUUGUUGUAUGCUCACCAAGGUUUGGACGGCAUCAUUCACAGCAGAGUGAACUGCGAUAUGCUCGCUGGAAGAAAGCUGUUCAGAGGGCUAUGAACUGGGAAACCACAGAACCAGUGAACAAUGGAAAUGCAGGGCAGAAGUGAACUAGAACCUUACUGCAUUGCAGAAGAUUGAAAAUGAAGCCAUUAGAAGGUCCAUGGCUUACCCCUUCAAAGUCAAGAUGUGCUGUAGUGGCCUUGGAAAAAGACAUUCCAAUUGAAAGUUGUUCAUUUAUAAUUUCUGCAGAAAGCAUUGAGACCUUUCUGGCCACGUAGCAGGAGGUUUUAUUGACCAUAUCUGGUAUGAUGAAAUCAUUAUUUGUGAUGUCCUCACUACUGUAGUUUCCCUACACUGUACAGUACAUUCUAAUACAAGUGUCAAUCAUAGUAAGCAACUCAGUCAGUCAUUGUCAAAUUUUAUAUAUAUUUUUUAAUAGCACUAAUGGUCACAGACAGCAGCUGAUGUGUGUCUGUGUAUGAGGUGUACGGUGUGGUUUGAAAGAGCAAGACAUGCUAUUAGUACAAAUGAGUUGCUUCUCAAACCUAUUCAGGAACGUUUUAGUGCACUUUAUAAUGUAUUAUUGCUGUUGUGUGUAAAACAGCGAGGGAACCGUACAAUCUCAUGUACAUAAUGUUAUAUUUUUCCUUAUCUUUUACUAUUUCAUAUGCCAAUUGAACACAUUUUGCCAUUAUUGUCAACAAAAUGACUGUGCAUAGAAGUCCAGUCAACCUGCCCGAAGCACUGUGGCCCUGCUGAUAGACUGCACUACUGCAUAGCUUCUGAGCAUUACACAGGAUGUCCCUUGAGCAGUUCUGAGCGAGUCGACAGCUGAACAGUUACUGACGAGGUCUGCGGAACUACGUUUUGUUGUCAAUUGUAGAGCUCUGUGUUGUCUUAUUCGGUCAAGUCACUGUAAUUUAAUCUCUGAAAUUCUGCGUGUGAAUUACAUUACUGUGCAGCUGAAGGAAGCAAUGAUGUUAAAAUACUAAGUUCAAAUGAAUUUUAUAUUUUCUUUCACUUCCAGAAACUGGUGUGUGUUUAAAUAUCUAAUCUGAACUUGAAAGGAAAUAGUAGGCACCUGAUUUUCUGUCGUACUUGAUGUCUGUGUAAUGAAAUAUCACAAGUUUCAUAACAAUGAAGACUUUAUGUAAACAUAAACCGAUUACUUUUUUGUUUGUUUAAUUGUAUAAUAACAAAUAAUUUUAACUGUUGCCAAUUUAGUUUGCAUUUUGAAAAGCCAAUCCGUUUUCUGAGAAGUAUUUAUAUAAUGUACUCUGAAUGGUACUUGCUUGAUUUGUCUUUGCUUUGUGUCCAUGAUUACUUGAAAUGCAAAAAUUGUUUAAAACGUUGAUUUACAAAAAAAGUAGCCAGUAUUAAACGCAAGUCAUUUGUUUUCUUCACUGUA